ACACUCCUACGGGAGGCAGCAGUGGGGAAUUUUGGACAAUGGGCGAAAGCCUGAUCCAGCAAUGCCGCGUGUGUGAAGAAGGCCUUCGGGUUGUAAAGCACUUUUGUCCGGAAAGAAAUCCUUGGCUCUAAUACAGUCGGGGGAUGACGGUACCGGAAGAAUAAGCACCGGCUAACUACGUGCCAGCAGCCGCGGUAAUACGUAGGGUGCGAGCGUUAAUCGGAAUUACUGGGCGUAAAGCGUGCGCAGGCGGUUUGCUAAGACCGAUGUGAAAUCCCCGGGCUCAACCUGGGAACUGCAUUGGUGACUGGCAGGCUAGAGUAUGGCAGAGGGGGGUAGAAUUCCACGUGUAGCAGUGAAAUGCGUAGAGAUGUGGAGGAAUACCGAUGGCGAAGGCAGCCCCCUGGGCCAAUACUGACGCUCAUGCACGAAAGCGUGGGGAGCAAACAGGAUUAGAAACCCCAGUAGUCCCAUGA
rnacentral:rRNA from 1 species